UGCGACUGUGACGUGGGAGGUGCCCGCGACAACCUGUGCGCCGUGGAGACAGGGCAGUGCCGGUGCCGCAGCCAUGUGGUGGGACGGCAGUGUGGCCAGGUGGAGCCCGGCUUCUACCGCAUCAACCUGGACCAUUACACUUAUGAGGCUGAGGAUGCUCAGCUGCAUCAGGGCUCAGUGGUGGAGCGUGAGCCCCCCACGGACCACCUGGCUUCAUGGACGGGGACGGGCUUUGCCCGCUUGCUGGAGGGCAGCUGGGUGGAGUUUCACGUGAGUGACGUGCCUUUCUCCACCGAGUAUGACGUGAUCAUCCGCUACGAGCCCCAGCACCGGGAGCCCUGGCAGGAGGUGAGGGGGAGGGUGCUGCGCCCCAGCCCCGUCUCCGCCGGUGGAACCCCCACCCCAGCCGAUGACCAGCUCUCCACCAGCCUCCCCUCCGGUGCCAGGUAUGUGGUGCUGCCCCAGCCCAUCUGCCUGGAGCGGGGCGUCUCCUACACCCUCCGCCUGGAGCUGGGCUGUGCUGCCGCUCGGCAGGAUCCCACCGCCAGC